AUGUAUAGAGAGACUCAGUUGCGCUUAAGAAAUUCGGUUAGAAUCGAUAAGUCAUUCUCUUCCCCAUGGAUAUGUGAAACUACAAAAGUGUUGGCGAGUCUUGCCUUGGAUUCUGAUGCCUUAAAACUACUUGAUGUGAUAAUUGCACAGGAUAGUGAGCCUUGGUGUCAUGUCAAAUACCUUAAGGUGUCAUGUAGGGGGCCAAGGGUUUCAGAUCUUUUGUCUGGACAGUUGUCUCAUAUCGAAGGACAUGAUGAAGCUGUCACCCUCAAUAUCACAGUUUUUGGUCUCUGCUGCAUUUUUUCCUUGGAGCAUAAAACCUAUAUAUGGGGUUGUGUUGGACUGUAUUCCAAUUAA
rnacentral:rRNA from 1 species